GAGAGGAGGAAGAGGAAGACGAGGACCUCACAUGAAUCUGCCAUAUGCUGCCGACGUCCUCCGUCAGCUGCAGAUCGUCAGAUCGACAGAUUUAUGAUUUAUUCCAACAGCUUCAGGAACCACAGGGAAAACCCUGUGGCAGCAGAAGGCCAGAGACCGAGGCUCCGGGCCCGGGUAGGAGACCAGCCAUGCCUGGGCCUCUCCGUCCAGACCUCCCGCAGAACCUGCAGAACCAGACGGACUCUUUCCUCAUGGCCGCCCGGCUCGUCCGCAGAGGAUGGGUGGAGGAGGUGGAGGAGGGCAGGAGAGCUGGUUGCCAGUUCUCCCAUCAUGUUCACUCAGCACAUCACACAUGUCCCUCCGGGUCAGAUGGAAUCCAGGGACCGAACCGAGCUGAGAUCUUCUCAAAGGAGUCACGGAGCAGACGGAUCUGUGUCAUGAAGACAGUCGAGGACAGACAGACAGGCUCUGAACAGUCAGACAGACAGUCAGACAGACAGGGAGACAGUGUGUGUAUCUGGACGUCCGGUUGUCGUGGAACAUACAAACAGUCCCGGAGGUUCAAGGCUCCGAUGCUUCCAGUCAUUUCUGAGAUGUGACGAGUUUCACUGGAGACACGUGACUCAAAGUUCACAUGAAAAAACACGGGGUUAAAAAACAUUGUCUUGACGAAGGUUCAAGUUUAGUCAGAACAUGAAUAAUGUGAUGUCAUGAUGAAUGGACAGUGUGGUCAUUUUGAUCUGUUCAAUAAAAUUAAAAUAUGUACAAAUGCAA